GAGCAACAUGAGACGUCACCGUUGGAUAUGUCGCCUUUGACGGUGUGCUUACCUUUGGAGCCGAUCACAUUAGGUGGCCACAAAUUCACUCGUUUUUUACUUCACAAUUUUUUUAUUUUAUUUUUUCGAAUCUAACAGAGAUCAAGUCUGAUAUAUUUUCCACAAAUUUCAGAUCUAUUUUUAUUAGAUAUGACAUAUCUUAUUUU
rnacentral:lncRNA from 1 species